rnacentral:SRP_RNA from 1 species
UAUUAAUGUCAUUACAAUAUUAAGUGGCGAACCGUGUCAGGAUAGAAAUAUAGCAGCACUAAGCAUCAUCUUCUUAUGUGUAAUGGCUCAUCUUAGAAA